UUUUUUUUUUUUUUUUUUUUAAGAAUGAAGUUAUUCAAAUCAGAAAUUAAUGAUCUACAAGAUUUGGUGAAAUUUUCUAAUUCAGUGAUUUUUUUUACUUUCUUUUUAAUCCAAUUUCAUUUUAAUUCCCUGCCCUAUUUACCAAUCACUGCUGAAACUCAGUGUCUUUUAUUCCUAGAAUGACAGUUAAUAACUCUUAAAGUGCCUCCCUCUAGCGCGCAAGUGGAAAGAAACUGACAAAUGUGAAAACACAUCCUAUGGAUCGAUUUUUAAAUAAAUCUUUUCUAGCAACUCAGACAGGUGACACUGUGUUAAGAUAUUUGAUCUUCAUCCUGGAGAUGAUUGUUUUUCCAAUGUGGAUUAGCCUUAAACGCCAAGUGUGUUGACAUUGAUCAGAUGCUGUGUUAUCUAUAGCUGUAAACUUUUGUUGUAAAAUGUUCACCUUAUAUGCCCAAAGGCCAAGCAAAAUUUUAUCACCCACAAUAGUAUUCUAACCCUAAGGACUCUUUCUACACGGAGCUUCAAGAACAGAAACAGUUCCUUGGAAUAAAAUGAACCUGAAUGUUCAUUAUACUCGCAUUAGACCUAAUUGCUUACCGUGAAUACAGAUAGGCGUUUUCAGAGUAUUUCUGCCACGGCUCACUUGUAAUCGUCUUUCUUUUUCCUUCUGGACCCACAGAGUUCUUGGGCCAAACCUGAUGUGCUAAUGUGCAGUAUAAAUCAAUGAUAGCUUUUUGGUGACUCAUUAUUGUCUGGAAGCUCCAAAGUUAAAUGAGAUGAUAAAAACCGCUUUAAGAAAUCAUGUCUAAUCAAUAAUAAUGUACUUUAAGGUUGUUUGUUGUUUUAUUAUAUUUAGAAAAGAUGUAGAAUUGAGUAUAGCUCAGCCAAGGAUGACUAACACUUUCUCAGUUUUCGUUAUGAAAAUUAUGAGGAAAACUUACAGUUUGUACAAAUGAAUAGUUUCCGCUUCAAAUUAUUAGCUUGUCUAUGCUAUGAAAGGGGACUUCUUUCUGGUUUCAAAAAAUAUUUGCUAUGGCAGUAAAAACAAAUAUGUAUUUAGAUGAUUGUUGGGAAUAAUUUUGAGAAUGUUAUUUUAAUCCACUAUCUGAGGUUGUGAGCUAAAUUAUAAAUAAUGCAAUAUAAUCAACCCCACCUGUGGAAUGGAUCAUGUCAAACUGAUUAUUUUAGCUAGUCAAAGCUGAGUAGCAAACCAAAUGUUUGCAGAAAGUUAAAGUGUCACUUUAUGAAACUUGGUCAUAGGUAAAGGAUUUCUGAAAACACUGGCCAGAGAAAAGUAGAAGUAUAGACACUAAAGUUAGUCAGAUGCUAAGCAAAUAUUUGUAAUAUGAAUGUGACCCAUUGCACAGGAAUCUGAGUUAGGUGUGGCACCACACCACACAUUCCUGUGAAUGCUUAACCAAAUCCUUGACUUCUAGGAUACUUGCUAAAUGUACAUGUUUGCACUUACAUCCUUCAUAUGCUGCUCCUCAUCCCUGCUUACCUGCUUACCAGCGUUCCUAGGUUCAGAAAUCUGUCAGGAAGUAGGAAAGCCUGCUACUUUUUGUUUGUUUGUUUUGCUUUUAAUGUUAAUCCUAUUUUAAAGAAAAGACCAAGUUUUCCAUCCAUUCAGUUCAUUCAAGAAAUAAUUACUGUGCACCCAUUAUUUGCAAGGCAUUUGCCUAAAUUCUGCAGAUACAGCAAUGACCCAACACAAACAAAAUCUGUCCUUAUGAAGCUCAGGUAUUAGUGUUUUGGUUUAUAGGAAGUUAUACUUAACUCGGAAAGCUACUGUUUUAGUACUAGGCAAUGAGAGGCAGUUGCUAGGAGGGUCCUCAUCAGGCUGGAUAUUCAUCAGAAUAAACAUCAAUCCAUCAUCUCUAAAACAAAAGUCCAUUAACAGCCCCUCUUCUAGUUCUACAAAGACUUCAUCCGUAUGUAUUCCGGAAGUGAUUAUCCUGUCUAUGAACUCAGCACCUUGCUCUAAGACUUCUUGUUAUGUGUUUACUCAAUUUCUUAAUUGACAUUUUGCUAUAACUGAAACUUGAAAGAAAAAACAUGGCAAGAAUCAUCAGAUCAAUCAAUUUUGUUAACUCAUUAGCAGUUCAGACAUAGAAGUGACAAGCCAAUAUAAUAGUUAAUAUUUAAGGAACACCACCUGACAAAAAUGAGCCUCUAUUACAUACAUAAAAUCUGAAGUGAAUAUAUGUAUAUAUCCACGUAUAUGUUUUAAAUGAGUAACAUUUAUACAUCUUAAGUAGAUGUAUAUAAUCUUAAUAUAUAUCCAUAUACAAAGUAAUGCAUAUAAAAUAUGAUCUAUAUCUCUUAAUUGUAGAUAUAUAUACAUAUGUAUACAGAUACAUACAGACACAAACCCACAGAUUUUACUUAAACCUCUAGCAACCCUCCUUUUACAACCAAGACAAUGAAACUGAAGCCGGAAGAGGUUAAGUAACUGCUCAAGUCAUACAGCUAUUGAAUAUUUAGACUUGAAUCCAAGUACUCUGUACUCCAGGGUCUGUUUUUAACAGCAACACUGUCAUGCCUCUGUCUACUGACCGCAAUGAUUUUGGAUCUUCUACGGAUUUCGCCUUGCAGUUUGUAUUGCUCUUCCCUUUCACUAUCACAAAUGCAAGUGUAGAUGUCUAAUAACCAGGCACUAGUAACAAAAACACUCUAUUCCAUGGGAAAUAACAACGAUUUAUUAAUACCAGGAUACAUAACUGAAAAUCAGCCUAGUACUAAUUCCUCAGGUAAUAGUCUUAUAUUUAAGCAGAGCUCUGAAGUGGAGUUCUUCAUUUGAAGUCAGGCAAUCUUGAUCGAAGAAUAAUACACCAAGAAGCAUGAUACCUUAUAUCACAAGCUAGGAAAAAUACAUAAUUAUUGCUACAUAUUUAACAUAGCAUUUGGAAGGAUCAUCAUUGUGAGAGCUAAAUGCUCCAAAAGUUAAAAUUAAAUUUUUUUGCACCAACAUUUAUUCUGAGUUGGAUUAAAUACCUUAAAGUCUAAGGAGUCCUGAACAGAAAACAUGGAAGAAAAGUAACAAGUAUGAUUUUUGCUCCAUGUUUAACUUCAACAACACUGAAAUUUUCUUCUAAAGGUGCUUUAAAUUUUAAAUCAAUUCUAUCUGGGCACUGUAUCUACAGAGAAAUAUGAUCUUUCAAGUUUCUCAUGUUAACAAGGACAUUUUUAGGUUCUGCAAAGACUCCAAAAGGUUGAUAAUCUAUAUCAAUAUUUCAGACAUUUCGGUGUACCUAACUUUGAAUAUUUUAUCAAUAUUUGACAUUUCAUGUUUCGACUCAGCAAAACACAACUUAGAAAAGUAUGACCUGUCCUUUGUUAUUUAAAAAAUGUUUCUAAUUGGUUAAUCCUAUCCUUUUGAAAGACUAAUUUUCCCAUACUCUUUUGAAAUAGACUCCAUUGACAUAAUGGACCUGGUUCUAUUUAAGAGGGCUGGAGAAGAAUUUUGGUAGACUGUUUUGGUUCUUUUUCCACUUCCACAAUACAGUUAAAAAUCAAUAUACUUGGAAAGGAAGUUAUUGUCAUGCUACAGACUUGGAGUGAUAAAUAAAUCAUUGUAUUGUAAUAUCUGAAAGCAUUUUAAUAAAAUCAUUUUUUGUU
rnacentral:lncRNA from 1 species